GGAGAGAUGGCAGAGCGGCCGAUUGUGCAGCACUGGAAAUGCUGUGUGGCAGAAAUGUCACCGGGGGUUCGAAUCCCCCUCUCUCCG
rnacentral:tRNA from 1 species